AAGGAUAUAAAAAAAAAACAGUGCAGUGAUAUGACAUGGGAUUUUGGGAGAGUCUUUUUAAUAGUAUUUUAUUUCAUUAUUUCUUUGAAGAAAAAGUCGUUGUAGUUUACAUUAAUUAAAUAUUUCUUUGGCAUUGUUAGCAUGCAAAUCUUAUGUUGAGUAAAUGUUUAAGUGUCCUGUUUGAUCAGCUGCUUAAAACUGGUUUAAAAUUUGACAGGUUGAAUUAUUGAGCUAUACCUUGUUAUGAUCCAACACUGUUUGAUUCAGUGAUUAUUUUAUAAUUCUAGUUCCUCAAUCUUGUGACUUAUGGACACAAAGCACAAAGUUUCUUUUGUAUCUUGAUUUCACUUUGUCAUGUUAACUUAAUCUGUUUUUUUUUUGUUUGUUUGUUUUACAUGUAACUCCUAAACCAGCUUCCAAUCAACCAGACAAGCCUAACCGGCUGUUGCCCAUCUAUACAGCAGGAUCUUCAGUGUCAGUCAAUGAGGCUGAGGCCAUACCAGUUCCCCGUUCUGGUCAGAGGUUCCAUGAGUCUCUAAUCUCAGAGCUGAGAGUGCGACCCUGAAUGCAGCACGGAAAGCGGCAGCGAGGCCGUGUGUGAAGAGCACAGAGCCGCAGCAAAGCCCCCCCACACACAAGUGCUCCAAGACGGUCAGCCACAGUCCACUCUCUCCUCGGCUCUGGUGACUCUUCGUCCGCGCAGCCGCGACGUUCUGGAACAUGUAGGAUACCAUAGUUUAUGUUUUUACGUUUUGUUUUUUUUUCUUCUUUGGUGUAAAUAACAAAAAAGUUUCACCGGGUAGCCAGCACACUGUGGAGCCGCGGUCAUCUGGUCUAAUUCAUCUGGUCGCCCGCAGCCCCUGUAACGAGCCACGAACUUGAGUGUUUGAAGUACAGACCGAGGCUAGCCGCUGUUGAAAGCUGCCGUCUGCGAUUCGCUCGGCUUGACAACAGCUGCGUCAUGA